UGCCAGCCGCCGCGGUAAUACGUCUGGUGCACGCGUUAUCCGGAAUCACUGGGUUUAAAGGGUGAGUAGGCGGAUAAAUAAGUCAGAGGUGAAAGCCCACAGCUUAACUGUGGAACUGCCUUUGAUACUGUUUAUCUUGAAUCAUGUUGAGGUUAGCGGAAUGAGUCAUGUAGCGGUGAAAUGCAUAGAUAUGACUUAGAACACCAAUCGCGAAGGCAGCUAACUAGGCAUGUAUUGACGCUGAGUCACGAAAGCGUGGGGAGCGAACAGGAUUAGAUA
rnacentral:rRNA from 1 species